AUUGGAGGGCAAGUCUGGUGCCAGCAGCCGCGGUAAUUCCAGCUCCAAUAGCGUAUAUUAAAGUUGUUGCCGUUAAAAAGCUCGUAGUCGAACUUCGGUCCCUGUUGGACGGUCCGCCUUCUUGGUGUGUACUUUCUCAACGGGGACUUACCUCCUCGUGAACUGCGAUGUCCUUUAUUGGGUGUCGUAGCGAACGAGGACGUUUACUUUGAAAAAAUUAGAGUGUUCAAAGCAGGCCUAUGCCCGAAUACAUUAGCAUGGAAUAAUAGAAUAGGACGCGCGUUCCCAUUUUGUUGGUUUCUGAGAUCGCCGUAAUGAUUAAUAGGGAUAGUUGGGGGCAUUUGUAUUCCGUCGUCAGAGGUGAAAUUCUUGGAUUGAUUGAAGACUAACUACUGCGAAAGCAUUUGCCAAGGACGUUUUCAUUAAUCAAGAACGAAGGUUAGGGUAUCGAAAACGAUUAGAUACCGUUGUAGUCUCUUCUGUAAACUAUGCCAAUUGGGGAUUAGCUCAGGAUUUUUAAUGACUGAGUUAGCACCCGAAGAGAAAUCUUUAAAUGAGGUUCGGGGGGGAGUAUGGUCGCAAGGCUGAAACUUAAAG
rnacentral:rRNA from 1 species